rnacentral:rRNA from 1 species
AUUGAACGCUGGCGGCAGGCCUAACACAUGCAAGUCGAACGAGUGGCGGACGGGUGAGUAAUGUUUGGGAAACUGCCUGAUGGAGGGGGAUAACUACUGGAAACGGUAGCCAAUACCGCAUACCAUCAGAUGUGCCCAGAUGGGAUUAGCUAGUUGGUGGGGUAUCGGCUCACCAAGGCGACGAUCCCUAGCGGGUGGGAGAGGAUGACCAGCAACACUGGAACGGAGACACGGUCCAGACUCCUACGGGAGGCAGCGUAGGGGAAUAUUGCACAAUGGGCGCAAGCCUGAUGCAGCCAUGCCGCGUGUAUGAAUAAGGCCUUCGGGUUGUAAAGUACUUUCAGCGGGGAGGCGUUACCCACAGAAGAAGCGCCGGCUAACUCCGUGCCAGCAGCCGCGGUAAUUC